UUAUAUGAGAGUUUGAUCCUGGCUCAGGACGAACGCUGGCGGCAUGCCUAAUACAUGCAAGUCGAACGC
rnacentral:rRNA from 1 species